rnacentral:rRNA from 1 species
UGCAGCAACGCCGCGUGAGGUGAUGACGGCCUUCGGGUUGUAAACCUCUUUUAGUAGGGAAGAAGCGAAAGUGACGGUACCUGCAGAAAAAGCACCGGCUAACUACAUGCCAGCAGCCGCGGUAAUACGUAGGGUGCAAGCGUUGUCCGGAAUUAUUGGGCGUAAAGAGCUCGUACGCGGUUUGUCGCGUCUGCUGUGAAAUCCCGAGGCUCAACCUCGGGCUUGCGGUGGGUACGGGCAGACUAGAGUGCGGUAGGGGAGAUUGGAAUUCCUGGUGUAGCGGUGGAAUGCGCAGAUUUCAGGAGGAACACCGAUGGCGAAGGCGGAUCUCUGGGCCGUAACUGACGCUCAGGAGCGAAAGCAUGGGGAGCGAACAGGAUUAGAUACCCUGGUAGUCCAUGCCGUACACGGUGGGCGCUAGAUGUAGGGACCUUUCCACGGAUUCUGUGUCGUAUCUGACGCAUUAAGCGCCCCGCCUGGGGAGUACGGCCGCAAGGCUAAAACUCAGAGGAAUUGACGGGGGCCCGCACAAGCGGCGGAGCAUGCGGAUUAAUUCGAUGCAACGCGAAGAACCUUACCAAGGCUUGACAUACACCGGAGACGGCCAGAGAUGGUCGCCCCCU